GAAUGCGUUCUUCUAUGCAAAUGCUGCAGCGUGAUGAAGGACAUGCUCUGUCUUCUGGCAGGAAAAAGGAUCUUCCCUGUCAGUGGAAACCAAAGUUGCAUGGGAUGAGUUCUGCAAGAGCUCAUGUGCUCCUGGAUCCCAGCUUGCACCAUCUUGUCACAUUUUCAGAAAAGUGAGCAGCUCUGAUGAGGUGGUUGCUGUUGUAACCCAGCAGGGAACCAUAUGAAGACACGUUUUCACGGCAUGUCCAGGUUGCAACUGUACUAUUUUGGAAGGCUUUGAAGUCCUAUUUGCUGAAGUCACUUGGGCAACCAAAGUCCCAGUGACUUUCAGGCAGAUGGGAACUCCUGGAUUCCCCUUCAUCUAGAGAUUCCUGAGUACUGCAUCUGAGGUCAAAUGUUUUUGAGCAUCUGCAGUCAGCCACCAUGUUGUGUCCCUGUGAUUCUGCAACACCUUUGUGCCAGAAAUACCUGUCAGUGUCAGGAUGACCAGGAAGGGGUACCACACAAGGCUACAACUGAACAAGAGCCAAGGUUGAAGUGCAAGCUGCUCUGCAUGCUGGGAUGGCAUCCUCCAGUGGAUCCAUGUGCAAGGAUGGAGUCCUUCAGGCACUCACUCAGCAGACCUGACUCACCAUGGCUUGCUGCCAUGUCAGUGCUGACCAAAGGAAGUUCUGGGAAUGUGACUCCAGCCUUGGUUAAUAAUCACUGUAAAGGGCUGUGCAGAACGAGCUGCCACCCAGGCCCUCAAUGGCUUUGCUGUGGGGUGGCAGCAGUGCUUGGAAAGGGCAGCAGUCCGCCUGGAGAGCAGUCCCUUCCUCUUAUCUCUGUUCAGAUAAAGUGGCUGGUGGCAAAGGGCACUUCCUCAUGUGCUGCUGCCGUCAGGAAAUUUGGUUGGUCUUGCUGGCCCUUUCAGUCCCUGACCUUUCCCUGUGGUCUGUGCAUCCAGGAGCUCCAGGGCAGGCUGGAGUCCCUGGAUGGAAGUGAGUACCUGUGA
rnacentral:lncRNA from 1 species